AGUGGCUCAUCGGAAAGGUUUUAGGGCUUUGAUUGUGGCGACUCCGCCGAGCUUCACCUGCGAUUUUCGGCUCACUCACUGUCUAUUUUGCUCCGAUUUGGGUAUCAGAGUGCUUGGAAUCAAAUUCCGAGCGGGUAGAAGAAAUUUUUAUCUCUUUUGGCGGUCGGCAGUGACUCUGGUGCAGCGGCGGUCGACUUCUUUCUCCAGCGUCUGGUUUUUCUUCUCUAGUGGGGGCUUGCGGCUAGGGUUUGGAUUCCCAUAUGAUGCAAGAUAUUUAUAUCCAUCCUGCUUUGAUUUGGUCCACCAAUCGCGAUCGAUCUCGUCUGUCCGAUCGCACCUAAGGAGAAAAUAAAUUUGAACCGUCCAUCGUAAUUUGAUCUUGAUUGUCUGAUCGCGUUUAUAGGAGAAACAAAUUCGAACCGUCCACACGUGCAAUAUCAAUCUUGGGUCGUUCGAUCGCGGAGCACGCAGAUCGCCUGUGUGGUAUCCUGCGUGGCUCCGACAUUAGCGUGCCUUGCCACGCGACAUGCUCCAGUUUGUUGGUGUUGCUGAUUGGGCGGUCUUACAUGACACAAUUUUUUCUAUUUGUACUCUAACUCUCAGUUUCUAAUUUUUCU
rnacentral:lncRNA from 1 species